GUUCGUUCUCUACGCGCGGUCUCUCGCUUGGUCAUACUCAUUCUUCUUUGAAACGGGUUUCCCAAAUCCUCUGAAUAUUCUCUCAAAAUUUUCUCAAACUCCCUCCCAGAAUUCUCCCAAAUUUCCCAAUCUCUUAUACAAUUUCAUGGGUUCGUUCUAAUAUUUGCGAUUCAACUUUCCAAUCUCCUCUCCUCCUGACAAAUCUCUUUUCUCAAUAUUCAACAAAGUUCCUAAAUCAUUUGUCCUGAUGUUUGAUGCUCUGUCCAGCCUCACUCUCUCACUAGAAGCACUGCGGUUUCAUCUAAGGAUUCAAACUGUACGUGGUUCCAGGAAAUGUUUCAGUUGAGGAAAGUGCUGAUACUGGAUGGUGGGUGGCUUUCCCUUCUUUCUAACCAAGAAAUUACAGGGAAUGUUUUUUUUUGCAGAGAGAAGGGAUAUCAAUUUUUAAGAAGUUGGGGAAAUUGUGAUUAGAAGAAUUAAAUUGUGAUUGUGAUUAGAAGAAUUAAAUUGUGAACCAACUUCACAAGGUGCAAUGGAAAAGAAAUCUAAAAUUGACAUGUUUCAGUACAAUGUGUUAUGUGUAUGAUCUCUACCUUCAACCUGAAAUGAUAAGAAAGCUUGAAAUCAUUGUUAAUAGACCGAGUUUACGACUAUGUAUAUCACACAUAUUUGUCAUAUUGGAAAUGUGUAUUUAUUUCUAUUUUCAGCA